UAAAGAACCCCAACAAGAAACACAGAAGCACAGAGAGAGAGAGAGAGAGAGAGAGAGAGAGCUGCUCCUAUGCCUUUCAUUUCUCUCUCGGGAAUUUGAAGAUUCAAAGCUUUGAUAUUUGCCUUACUUUGAUCAAGUCCCUUGAUUUCUCUUCAAGGUGAUCGAAAUGGGAUCAAAGGAGAACAACCCAGCUCUUGUUAGGCCUUCAAAUUUCCAAGGUCCGAGAAUUUGGGGUGGGGAGGUUGGGCCGAAUCAUCGACCAGCGCCUGAGGGAUGUCCAUAACAUCACCAGAAAAGAAUGUCCUAGGAAACCAAGGAAGUGUCUGUGAGUUCAUUUGCUGCAAAUCCGCAGGCUGUGGAGAAUAUUGAGCAGGAGGCUUGUGAUGCUCAUGUGCCAAUGUUUGUUACGCACACCCAAGUAGGAUGGAAGAGGAUGAAAAUGUUGUUGAGCACAUAGAUGACAUCUACGCUCACUAUGGGAAAAAUGAGAAUCCAGCAAACUGUAAAGCUGAUGAAACUUUGGACUAACCGGACUAGCAUAGUGGACAUUUCUGCAUUUGGACCCCCGAUCUGUUGGAAAGUGUAUCUAGGAAUUUUAAAGUGAUGUAUAAUUUAUGGGGUGGGAGCGAGUUGAGUGGAGUGAGCGGGUCCAAAUGCAGAAACUUCAUCAGAAUUGCCCUGGUAUGCUUUCUAAAACCCCCCUUUAUAACUGUUGUUUGCUGUGGAGGUGAUUGGAAAAAUACCUAGGAUGUAUCUUUGCUAGAUAUUCAAGUUUAGGGAUAACCUUAGAGACAUAGAAUUAGCAUGAAAUUUUUGUUGCUUAAACUGCUAAAUUCUCUUUGGGAGCAGCCUCUCCAUAAAAUGGGGGUAAGGCUAGCCGACAUUCACCUCUCCCAGAC
rnacentral:sRNA from 1 species